AAAAAAAGAUAAUGACUGACAUAAUUUAAAUGUAUUGAACUGAUUACAUGGGGAAGACAUUUUUGUUUGUAAGAUGUUUUAACAUGGAAAUGGCAAUUUCCCAACAGUAAAUACACAGACCUGUAUUCACCAAAUGUUGAGCAGGAGGACGAAGAGCCGGUUGCUGUCAAUGUGAAGAAUUUCCAACACACAGCAAUGUAAUAUGCUUUUGACUAUAGCACUCCAGUUUUUUCACUGUACAAUAGUUCUUGUAUAUCUGGAAUAUCCACAAAUGAAUUAACUUUUUGUCAUUACAGGGAGGAGACGGAUAUUGCAUUACCUGACAUUGUAGCAAACCUGUCUCUUCCUAUUGAUCAUAAAAAAGUCAGCCGGUUUAACAUCUCAAGGGAUAAUGUUUGGGAUGGGGCAGUCAGAGGUUUCAAGCGUACAACAUAUUCUGAAACCUGUGACAUGCUGGUGAAAUUUACUGAUGAUACUGGUGUUCUGGAAGAGGGAAUUGACACUGGUGGUCCAAGACGAGAGUUUUUAACUCUACUGAUGAAACACCUAAAAGACCGGCCCAUUUUUGAUGGACCAGAAGGACAUCGGUUCUUGGUCUACAAUGCAAAGGCUGUUAGGGAGGAUGAAUACUACUUGGCAGGAAAGAUGAUUGCUGUGUCAGUUGUGCAUGGAGGUCCAGGACCCCAUUUCCUGUCAGAAGAUCUUGUACAUUAUCUUGCAGGCCAGUCUUCAUUCAAAGCAACAAAUAAUUUAAUAACUGAUGAAGAAAUAGGGAAAGCUUUGCAAGAGAUUGAGAAUGCUGCUUCAUUGGAUGCUCUGCAAGAAUGUAUGAUGAGACACAGCACAAUGUUACAGACAGCAGGUUGUCUGAGAUGUGGCUACUGUGGAAGAAAAUAAAGAAAUCGUGUCAGACUACCUCCAAUGGUAUAUCAUUGACCGCAACUCAUCUGUAAUUGACAGAUUCAGAGAUGGUCUUUCAACCCUGGAGUUUUUGACUGCACUACAGCAACACCCUACUUUGCUGGCCCCUGUCAUGUGCCACUCUGAAAGGCGACUCACUGCUUUUGAACUUGAGAGACUCUUCAAACCUGACCUCAGUCCUUCGGGGAGUAAUCGAAGACUUAAAGAAAGUCAAACCAUGGCCUACUGGGCAGACUAUCUCCUUGAUUGUGAAGAAGGCCAGGCUGCUGUGUCUGUGGAAGAUGUUUUGAUGUUUGCUACUGGGCUGUCUUCACUUCCCCCAUCUGGCUUGGAACCACUGCCUCAAAUAGAGUUCCUGGAGGACUCUGCGUUCCCAAUGGCAAAUACAUGUUCAAACUCCUUGAGAUUACCACUCCUAGACUCAUACACUUUGUUUAAGUCACAAAUGGACUUUGGAAUUCAAAAUAGUCCAGGAUUCGGCUGUUUCUAAGCUAUAUGAUGGAUGACCCCUAGAGUUAAGACUCUGAAAAAGUUGUUGUUGUUAAAGGUUAGGGUUGGGCAUCAUUUAGAUUUUAACGAUUCUGAUUCCAAUUCCAAUUCUUCCUUUUGAUUCCGGUUCUUAUCGAUUCUCGAUUCCGAUUCUUUGAGUGGUGGAGUUGAAACGGGUCACAUGCUUAUUUCACAAAUAAGAGGAAAGUUUUAUUUUGAUUCAAAGGUGGGUUGCAGUUUGACGGGGCUUUUUCAGUGUAAAAUAAAGCCACACUAGAGCACCGCUUACUGUGCUCCAUGGCUGCAACACAACAAGCACCUGGCCGCUACAGAAACCAAAACUUGCGCAUGUUAAAUUUGGAACCCAUGAUCAGAUUUGAAACCCAAUCCUCCAAAACGAUUCCAAUAAAGAAACAAUUCCGAUGGAAUCGUAAUUUUUUUAACUAGUCCAAGUAGGAAUUGGUUCUUGAUGCCCAACCCUAUUAAAGGUGCACUUUUAAAGUGCAGUUGCCAAAGUUGUUUUUAUAAUGUUACUGUAUGUGAGCAUGUUCUUUUCUCACAGUAAACAUUUUGAAAAUGUUUUAGAUCCAUUACUCUCAAUACUACAAAAGUGUAAUAAAUACUGAUUACUA